GCGGCGGCCGAGGCUGCGGGAGAGGACGAGCGCGCCCCAUUUUCUCCGCGGAGCCGCCCCCAGCCCUCCUGACCUCCGCGCCCCUUUAAAUCCUCCGCGGGUCUCCCCGCCCUUCCUGCUGGGAUGGGAGGAGACCUUAGCGGACGGUGCUCUGCCUGUGCGGCCAGAUGAAAGGGGGACUGGGAAAAUGAAGCCAGCUCUUGCCGAGCACAAAGAAAGGAUUCAUAUGGGAGCGAAUAGAACAAGUAAAGACGGUCAGCUGUGGUCACAGUGGAGGAACUGAAGAGUUUAGACUUCACCAGCUCUUAGAGCCCU
rnacentral:lncRNA from 1 species